rnacentral:rRNA from 1 species
GACGAACGCUGGCGGCGGGCUUAACACAUGCAAGUCGAACGGAAAGGCCCGGCUUUUGUGGGGUGCUCGAGUGGCGAACGGGUGAGUAACACGUGAGUAACCUGCCCUUGACUUUGGGAUAACUUCAGGAAACUGGGGCUAAUACCGGAUAGGAGCUCCGGCUGCAGGGUGGGGGUUGGAAAGUUUCGGCGGUUGGGGAUGGACUCGCGGCUUAUCGGCUUGUUGGUGGGGUAGUGGCUUACCAAGGCUUUGACGGGUAGCCGGCCUGAGAGGGUGACCGGCCACAUUGGGACUGAGAUACGGCCCAGACUCCUACGGGAGGCAGCAGUGGGGAAUAUUGCACAAUGGGCGGAAGCCUGAUGCAGCAACGCCGCGUGCGGGAUGACGGCCUUCGGGUUGUAAACCGCUUUCGCCUGUGACGAAGCGUGAGUGACGGUAAUGGGUAAAGAAGCACCGGCUAACUACGUG